ACCUGUUGCCGUAAUAUAUAGAUGCUCCUGCGGAGUCUGACCUAGGAAGCUAAGUAUGGUCGAACCUUGUAAGAACUUGGUUGGGAGACCGCUUGGGAAUACCGGGUACUCAAGGAU
rnacentral:rRNA from 1 species